rnacentral:rRNA from 1 species
GACGUAGGGUGCGAGCGUUGUCCGGAUUUAUUGGGCGUAAAGAGCUCGUAGGCGGCUCGUUGCGUCGGCUGUGAAAACCCGCGGCUUAACUGUGGGCUUGCAGCCGAUACGGGCGGGCUGGAGUUCGGUAGGGGAGACUGGAAUUCCUGGUGUAGCGGUGAAAUGCGCAGAUAUCAGGAGGAACACCGGUGGCGAAGGCGGGUCUCUGGGCCGAUACUGACGCUGAGGAGCGAAAGCGUGGGGAGCGAACAGG